rnacentral:sRNA from 1 species
AGCCGGCGUCAGCGGCCGCACGCCGCGGAGCCGGGGUUCCGAGGUCCCGGGAUUACGGUGCUCGAGCACGCUGGUGGGAAAGGACCCGGGACUUGAACAGUGUUGUGCGGCGCCAUGCAGGUCUCCAGCCUCAAUGAGGUGAAGAUUUACAGCCUCAGCUGCGGCAAGUCCCUUCCUGAGAUGUCCGUAGGAGAAUUGAACUUAUUCAGGACUUUGAAAUGCCUACUGUAUGUACCACUAUUAAGGUGUCAAAAGAUGGACAGUACAUUUUAGCAACUGGAACAUAUAAACCUCGGGUUCGAUGUUAUGACACCUAUCAAUUAUCCUUGAAGUUUGAAAGGUGUUUAGAUUCAGAAGUUGUCACCUUUGAAAUUUUGUCUGAUGACUACUCAAAGGUAUGUUUUAUAGCAUUGGUUUGUACUGACUAGACUCAAGAAAUGAGUGAGUGGAAUUUAUUUUAAUGAUAAGCACUUUUAUGAUAUUUUUAUUGUUAAACUAAAAUGGCUGUGUAGUUCUAUUGUUAAACAAAAAUGGCUGUGUAGUAAAAUGUAACCCAUCAUUUUUUAUUAAUAUUAAUACAGUGAUACAGAUAG